AACGAACGCUGGCGGCAUGCCUAACACAUGCAAGUCGAACGAGACCUUCGGGUCUAGUGGCGCACGGGUGCGUAACGCGUGGGAACCUGCCCUUAGGUUCGGAAUAACUCCCCGAAAGGGGUGCUAAUACCGGAUAAAGUCUUCGGACCAAAGAUUUAUCGCCUUUGGAUGGGCCCGCGUUGGAUUAGCUAGUUGGUAGGGUAAAAGCCUACCAAGGCGACGAUCCAUAGCUGGUCUGAGAGGAUGAUCAGCCACACUGGGACUGAGACACGGCCCAGACUCCUACGGGAGGCAGCAGUGGGGAAUAUUGGACAAUGGGCGAAAGCCUGAUCCAGCAAUGCCGCGUGAGUGAUGAAGGCCUUAGGGUUGUAAAGCUCUUUUACCCGGGAUGAUAAUGACAGUACCGGGAGAAUAAGCGCCGGCUAACUCCGUG
rnacentral:rRNA from 1 species